GACGAACGCUGGCGGCGUGCUUAACACAUGCAAGUCGAACGGAAAGGCCCUUCUUUUGUGGGGUGCUCGAGUGGCGAACGGGUGAGUAACACGUGAGUAACCUGCCCUUGCCUUUGGGAUAACUUCAGGAAACUGGAGCUAAUACCGGAUAGGAGCUCCUGCUGCAUGGUGGGGGUUGGAAAGUUUCGGCGGUUGGGGAUGGACUCGCGGCUUAUCAGCUUGUUGGUGGGGUAGUGGCUUACCAAGGCUUUGACGGGUAGCCGGCCUGAGGGGGUGACCGGCCACAUUGGGACUGAGAUACGGCCCAGACUCCUACGGGAGGAAGCAGUGGGGAAUAUUGCAAAAGGGGCGGAAGCCGGAUGCAGAAACGCCGCGGGCGGGAUGACGGCCUUCGGGUUGUAAACCGCUUUCGCCGGUGACGAAGCGUGAGUGACGGUAAUGGGUAAAGAAGCACCGGCUAACUACGUG
rnacentral:rRNA from 1 species